UAAUACGUAGGGAGCAAGCGUUAUUCGGAUUUACUGGGCGUAAAGAGUGCGUAGGCGGUCAGGUAAGUCAAAGGUGAAAUCUCUGCUCUCAAGGCAGAAACUGCCUUUGAUACUGCUUGACUCGAGGACAGGAGAGGGAAGUGGAACUCUGGAAGUAGCGGUGAAAUGCGUAGAUAUCCAGGGGAACGCCAGUGGCGAAAGCGGCUUCCUAGUCUGUCCCUGACGCUGAGGCACGAAAGCUAGGGUAGCGAUCGGGAUUAGAGACCCCGGUAGUCCUAGCCGUAAACGAUGGGUACUAAGUGUGGGGGGAGCAUUACUCCCCGUGCUGAAGCUAACGUGUUAAGUACCCCGCCUGGGGAGUACGGUCGCAAGGCUG
rnacentral:rRNA from 1 species